rnacentral:rRNA from 1 species
AGUGAACGCUGGCGGUAGGCCUAACACAUGCAAGUCGAACGGCAGCACAGUAAGAGCUUGCUCUUACGGGUGGCGAGUGGCGGACGGGUGAGGAAUACAUCGGAAUCUACUUUUUCGUGGGGGAUAACGUAGGGAAACUUACGCUAAUACCGCAUACGACCUACGGGUGAAAGCAGGGGAUCUUCGGACCUUGCGCGAUUGAAUGAGCCGAUGUCGGAUUAGCUAGUUGGCGGGGUAAAGGCCCACCAAGGCGACGAUCCGUAGCUGGUCUGAGAGGAUGAUCAGCCACACUGGAACUGGGACACGGUCCAGACUCCUACGGGAGGCAGCAGUGGGGAAUAGUGGACAAUGGGCGCAAGCCUGAUCCAGCCAUACCGCGUGGGUGACGAAGGCGUUCGGGUUGUAAAGCCCUUUUGUUGGGAAAGAAAAGCAGCAGGUUAAUACCCCGCUGUUCUGACGGUACCCAAAGAAUAAGCACCGGCUAACUUCGUG